AUUGAACGCUGGCGGCAGGCCUAACACAUGCAAGUCGAACGGUAACAGGAAGCAGCUUGCUGCUUUGCUGACGAGUGGCGGACGGGUGAGUAAUGUCUGGGAAACUGCCCGAUGGAGGGGGAUAACUACUGGAAACGGUAGCUAAUACCGCAUAACGUCGCAAGACCAAAGAGGGGGACCUUAGGGCCUCUUGCCAUCGGAUGUGCCCAGAUGGGAUUAGCUAGUAGGUGGGGUAACGGCUCACCUAGGCGACGAUCCCUAGCUGGUCUGAGAGGAUGACCAGCCACACUGGAACUGAGACACGGUCCAGACUACUACGGGAGGCAGCAGUGGGGAAUAUUGCACAAUGGGCGCAAGCCUGAUGCAGCCAUGCCGCGUGUAUGAAGAAGGCCUUCGGGUUGUAAAGUACGUUCAGCGGGGAGGAAGGGAGUAAAGUUAAUACCUUUGCUCAUUGACGUUACCCGCAGAAGAAGCACCGGCUAACUACGUG
rnacentral:rRNA from 1 species